UAUGUCUAGAACGAGCCAAGGAGCGUGCAGCUCUGGUCAUCUGAGUGACUUGUGGGUACCAGUGCGUGUCGGUCCACUUCCAGACCCCGCAGCCGGUCAAUGUACUCCCAGCCGGACGUCUAGUUCUCCAGGUCCAGAGCGACCACGGUCCAAAAGAAAUUAUCUCCAUGAUAACCUGGGAGCGGGAGCCAGAGAAUGCAAAAACUCCAGGGAAUCCUGGGAAAAUGACGUUGAUUACGUUCCCCGGUCAAGACAAACUCUUGGACGGGCGUCUGAGUCUGGAGCAGCAGGGGUCAAUACUGAAGCUGGAGGGCUUUGGCGUGGCGGACAGCGGGGUGUACAUCGUGACCGUCACUGACCAGGCUGGUGUCAAGACCUCUGCGCAGUGUAUCGUCAAGGAGUACGAGGCUGUGCACCACCCCUCAGUGAGAGUGAACGCGUCCCACUCCUCCCUGUUCUGUGUGGAGACCUGGGGGACAGACCUUAAAUUCAGCUGGCUCCACGAGCGGGCAGCCAUCUCCGAUGCUGUGGGACACGUGUCGCCUGAUGGGAAGACCCUGUUCAUCUCCUCCUCCCCCAUCUGUGGUCACUUCACCUGCAUGAGCCGUGUGAGAGAGAGGACAAAAGGACCACGGUGGCAGUGGUCUGGCUCAUCAUCCUACUGGUCUGUGGAGCAGUGCUAGCUUUUCUACUGUGGAGGAGACACAGGCGAUACAGUAACAGAGGAGAGAGGCUUCAGGAGCAUUUUGAGGACAACUUGUAACGGUGAACCAUUGAUUACAGUACCCAAGUACUUUCGCUACACUCCCCUACUCAAAGAUGGACUCAUAAAAGGACAGUAAGUGUGCAAAACGCUUUGGGAGGAGCUUCCUUCCCUGUGAGCAGCAAGACCUUUCAGUGCAUUGGAACAAUGUGGAAAGUGAACUGCUUUGUUGGCCAAUUGACGAGUUCUAAAAUUGGAAAGAUCAACUUUUGCCCAGUGUGUUGCCUGUUUUUGUAGAAGCUAUCAUUUUUAUCCCGCCUCUCAUUGUACUGAACUACACUUGAUAUUUUUUUAUGUAACGCUCUAAAAUGAUUUGUUUUAAAAACAAUUCCUUAUUCUCUAACUUUUCUAUAUUGUAAACAUAUUGUAUAUUUUGCUGCCUAUUCUUUGUAAUAAAAAGCACAUUUUAAA
rnacentral:lncRNA from 1 species